AGAAGGAAGAACUUGGAGAGGGCCUUCCUCCCCUGUGUCGCAGGCCGCUGGGGGCUGACUCCCAAAUUCCAGGAGAUUUUGGAACUGCUGGGUGGAUCUGCCAUUCUAUACUCAGAAAAGCCUCAAUUAUGUAACAGAAACUUCAGGAAGUGAAAUUGUGAACAAGGGGGACCCUACUGUAUAUAGUACGCACUUCUGCAUAAACUACAAACUAAUGCUGGAGAAUACAUGCUCAUUCCUGUUCAUAUCAGGCCAAUGAUUUUUGGAUUAUAAUAAAAUAUUUUAAAAUGUGGAGAAACUUACGAUGGAGAGGCUUUGUGAGCUUGAAAACAGAAGAAGAUGCAAGUCAGUCUGCGGUCUGUCCCCUGUUGAGCUGGCUUGCACAAGGAAAUCCAAGAGAAGAUCAGGACUCCAUCUGCACAGGAAAAAGGCUUCCAGCUGCAUCCAUGUUGCUGCAGAGGACGUAAGAGGCUGCAGAGGCUGUGUAAUAAUCUACGAUGCACAUGUAUGACAUUUUCUUUAUCCAAUUCACCCUUGAUUGACACUUAGGUUGAUUCCAUGACUUUGCUAUUGUGACUAGUGCCACAAUGCACAUGCAAGUGCAUGUGUAUUUUUGGUAGAACAAUUUAUUUUCUUUUGGAAACAUACCAAAUAAUAGGAAUACUGGGUCAAAU